UGAGCCCAAGAUUUUGUUCCAAGUCAUUCAGAUUAUCAUGAUUCAAUUAAUCCUAUCAAACUUUAAUCACAAUAUUAAUCCAGAUUUCCAACAAAUAACAUUCAGAUUAUCCAAGAUUAACAUCACUUAACUAGGCUAAUAACCACAUUUAUCAUAAAAUUGGAUCAAAAGGGGAUUAGGUUAAGAAAUGUGGCUAUUCACCUUAUCAGACGUAUCUCCUUCCCUCUCUCAAUCGGCGGUGGCAUCGAUCCUCUCUUCGUCACCGGCAAAGUGCGACGCGAGACUUCGCCCUUACUCUCUCGUUUCAUCUUCGGACUCCCUUCGUCUUUCAUCUCUAUAUCGAAUCUCCCGUUGAAACGUGAAGUUAAUGGCUCAAAGAGAAUGCGUGUGCUGCUGUUGUCGAAGUUCAUGUUGAUGAAGAUGUUAUUCAGAACAUGAUGAAGAUUAUUGAGAUACGAUGCUUGAUGGUGAUUGAUGGAAACGUUGCGGAAUCAUCAGAGAAGAUUUUGGAUUGCGGUUCUGAAUCGCAUUCACUACAGGAAGAACAAAACUAUUUGUUGAAAUCGAAUCGGCGACGCGGCGAUAUUGAUGAUGAUGGAUUCAGCGGUGAAUGAUAUUGAAGAUUGAAGAUUGGACAAAGAUUAUCGUGAACGGUUGAAGGUUGGAGAGGUUUUUCUGUUGAAGUUUCGUUGCCGUUUGUUGGAGUUGCGAUGAUUCGAUGCGUGAUGUGAUUGUUGUAAGUGAUAAACAACGUUGAAUUUGUGAUGGUGUGAUGAAGAUCGAUUGAGUCUAUGGAGUUGAAGAAGUUAUGAAGAUUUGGAGAUUGAAUCGUUCAAAGAGUGAUUGCAGAAUUUUCUUGAGGAUCAUCGAUGAAGAUGAAGAGAGUCCGGUUUUGAAGAUUUUCUGGGGUUUUUAUGGAGAUUGUGAAUUGAGAAGAUGAAGGUCGAAGCGAAGAAGAUGGUUGUUACGAUUCGGUUAUGUGGUGAAUCCUCCCUCCUUUUCCGAUUCUGUUGUGUUAUUCUGCUCUGAUUUUUCUGUUAUGAACUUCUCUUGUUUUUUUUUGUUAUGGAGGUGAUAGCUGAUCGAUUGUAAGGAGAGGAUUUGGUGAUGAUGAAUGCCGAAGUUUACGUUUCUGUUAUGAGAAUUUUCUUCCAUCUUCCGUUAUGCGGUUUUCUUUUUCAUUGUAUUAAAUUUUUGAAUUCUUGAACCGGUUUCUUUUGUCUGAGUUCGAUUUUUAUUCCGUGAAUAGCUUCUGGUGAACCCAUUUUUACAUGGCAUAGGCUUUGAUUUCAUACUGCAGGUUUUGGGAACAAAGACGACUCCGACGCCCUUAAUUGAUUUGCGUGGAUUUGGCUAUGACUGAAUGGGGGAUUAUUAGAUAAGAUGCCUUGAUCUAUUUUCUCAGAAUUUUCCGUACCAUUUGCAAAAGUAUCAUCCGUGACUACCCAGAAGCAACAAGGGAGUAAUACGAGAUGAGGAUAAGAUUCGAUCUCGAUGGAUGGUUGGGAUUCGAUCCCCAUGGCAAAGAUUGAGAAUAACCAUUAGAUGAGGAUCCACGGUUGGGAUCAUGAAUUAGGGACGCUUUCUUGUAUAAUUUUCAAAAAUGUAAUACUUGUAAUUGACACCUCGCAACUUGUGAUGUAUUUGACUUUGGAUGAAGCUUGAAAUAGUCUCAUACUCUUAUAAUCCUUUCGAAUUCGACGAUACAUUCUCAAUAUGUAAAGCACUUCUCUUUUUCUCUUCAA